GAAUUAUAAAAUGAUCUGUUUUGCUGUUGUCGGGUGGAUCACGAUGCAAUUUUGAUUAGACUAAUAGGAGAAAAAUUGCACGGUAUCCAUCUGUAAACCGCAGGACUUUGGUUGGCCACAUUCUU
rnacentral:pre_miRNA from 13 species